GAUGAAGAACGCAGCGAAAUGCGAUACUUGGUGUGAAUUGCAGAAUCCCGUGAACCAUCGAGUCUUUGAACGCAAGUUGCGCCCGAAGCCAUUAGGCCGAGGGCACGCCUGCCUGGGCGUCACACGUCGUUGCCCCCCCAUCUACUCCUUCGGGAUUGCGGGGGGCGGAUGAUGGCCUCCCGUGCGCCUCGUCGCGCGGUUGGCAUAAAUGCCAAGUCCUCGGCGACGCACGCCACGACAAUCGGUGGUUGCGAAACCUCGGUUGCCCGUCGUGUGCGGUCGUCGCGCAUCGAGGGCUCGAAAAAAUUGCCGGGCUCCGGCUCGGCUUUCAACGCGACCCCAGGUCAGGCGGGGUUACCCGCUGAAUUUAAGCAUAUCAAUAAGGCGGAGGA
rnacentral:misc_RNA from 1 species